rnacentral:rRNA from 1 species
CCUACGGGCGGCUGCAGUGGGGAAUAUUGGACAAUGGGGGCAACCCUGAUCCAGCCAUGCCGCGUGUGUGAAGAAGGCCCUCGGGUUGUAAAGCACUUUCAGUGAGGAAGAACGCCUGUGGUUAAUACCCAUCAGGAAAGACAUCACUCACAGAAGAAGCACCGGCUAACUCCGUGCCAGCAGCCGCGGUAAUACGGAGGGUGCGAGCGUUAAUCGGAAUUACUGGGCGUAAAGCGCGCGUAGGUGGCUUGAUAAGCCGGUUGUGAAAGCCCCGGGCUCAACCUGGGAACGGCAUCCGGAACUGUCAAGCUAGAGUGCAGGAGAGGAAGGUAGAAUUCCCGGUGUAGCGGUGAAAUGCGUAGAGAUCGGGAGGAAUACCAGUGGCGAAGGCGGCCUUCUGGACUGACACUGACACUGAGGUGCGAAAGCGUGGGUAGCAAACAGGAUUAGAUACCCCAGUAGUC